CAGUGCAGACAACCAAGAGACGGAUUGGACAAGCAACUCGAGUGAUAACACCGUACUUCUUGAGAGCAAUGAUGACCUUAGCGAGGACAACUCCAGUGCAGCAUCCCCAGCACAACGACCCCCCUCUGUGCCAAGAAAGCCAAAGACCAAAACCUCGCUGCUGCCAUCUGCAUCAGCCUCAGGCUCCUCACUCAGGACUGUGAUCGCUUCACCAACCACGCCUGCAAAGGAUGAUGUUGUCGCCCAGGACAGUCUGAAGAUGCAGGCUAGGCACUAUAAAACCUUGAGCAACAUGUACAAUAAGCCAAAUGCAAAACCCAAUCAAAGCGAUGUUGCUCAAGUUUUAGACCUUGAGUUUAAGGCCAGACGGGCUUUCAUUGAUGCAGAUGUUACAAGGGAAGAAGACCGACCUGCAAAAAUCUUUGAGGCAUAUCCAUGCUUUAGAGAUGUUCGAAAUGUAUGUUGUUGUUUUUUCACUACUUGCACUUGAAUUACUGUCUAUCGACCUGUGUUCUAAAUGUCCAAUGGUUGAAUAACUGUGCACAAUGUUUUAGGCAAUGGAUGAGCUGCGGCGCAUAGUAGGUGGCACCAACAGCAGAUACAUCGAGGAAGUGAAAGGAAGAUGGGCAGACUUUUGUGCCAA